CUCACUGGCCUUGCAGACAACUUCAUUGUCCAGAAAGUGGGAGAAGCAACAAGAGGAACAGCCAUUUUAGAUCUGGUCCUAACCAAUGUUGAUGACCUGGUUAGUGGGGUAGAAGUGGAAGGAUCAUUAGGCGCGAGUGAUCAUGCUCUUCUGAAGUUUACUAUACAGCGGAAAGGAGCAGCCAAGCAUACUAGGACUCAAUUUCUUGACUUUAAGAAAGCUGACUUCAUAAAACUUAGGGAAGUGCUGGGUGAGAUCCCAUGGACAGUAAUACUAAAAGGAAAGGGAGUUCAUGAUGGCUGGGAGUUUGUUAAGAGGGAGAUACUAAAAGCACAACGUCAGGCAAUACCAAUGAGACAGAAACAUGGAAGGUGCCUAAAGAAGCCAGGGUGGCUAUCUAAAGAACUUUUAACUGAGUUAAGAUUAAAAAGGAUGUGUACAAAAAUGGAAAAGGGGGAAACCACCAAAGAGGAAUUCAAACAAAUAGCCAGCACGUGUAGACACAAAGUCAGAAAAGCUAAAGCACAGAAUGAACUCAGGCUUGCUAGAGAGGUUAAAAGCAACAAAAAGGCUUUUAUGGGUAUGUCCGUAGCAAAAGGAAGAACAAAGAAACAGUGGGGUCACUCAGAGGAGAAGAUGGUGAAAUGCAAACAGGGGACACAGAAAGAGCUGAACUCCUCAAUGCCUUCUUUGCCUCAGUCUUCUCCGAUAAAGAAAAAAAUGCCCGACCUGAAGAAUUUGGAGCAAAUGAUUCAGCAAAGGAAACACAGCCCAGAAUAACUAAGGAGAUAGUACAAGAAUACUUGGCUAGUUUAGAUGUAUUCAAGUCUCCAGGGCCAGAUGAACUGCAUCCAAGAGUAUUAAAAGAACUGGCAGAUGUGAUCUCAGAACCACUGGCAGUCAUCUUUGAGAAUUCCUGGAGAACAGGUGAAGUCCCGGCAGACUGGAGGAGGGCAAAUGUUGUCCCUAUUUUCAAAAAGGGGAAAAGAGAGGACCCAAAUAAUUACCGCCCAGUCAGUCUGACAUCAAUACCAGGGAAGAUUCUGGAGCAGAUCAUUAAGCAAACAGUCUGUGAGCACCUAGAAAGGAAUGCUGUGAUCACCAAUAGUCAGCAUGGAUUUCUGAAAAAUAAGUCAUGUCAGACUAACCUGAUCUCAUUUUUUGACAGAAUUACAAGCCUGGUAGAUGAAGGGAAUGCAGUGGAUGUAGCCUACCUUGAUUUCAGCAAGGCAUUUGACAAGGUGCCUCAUGAUAUUCUUGUAAAGAAGCUGGUAAAAUGUGGUCUUGACUAUGCUACCACUCAGUGGAUUUGUAACUGGCUGACUGACCGAACCCAAAGGGUGCUCAUCAAUGGUUCCUCUUCAUCCUGGAGAAGAGUGACUAGUGGGGUGCCACAGGGUUCUGUCUUGGGCCCGGUCUUAUUCAACAUCUUUAUCAACGACUUGGAUGAUGGACUCAAGGGCAUCCUGAUCAAAUUUGCAGAUGACACCAAAUUGGGAGGGGUGGCUAACACCCCAGAGGACAGGAUCACACUUCAAAACGACCUUGACAGAUUAGAGAACUGGGCCAAAACAAACAAGAUGAAUUUUAACAGGGAGAAAUGUAAAGUAUUGCACUUGGGCAAAAAAAAUGAGAGGCACAAAUACAAGAUGGGGGACACCUGGCUUGAGAGCAGUACAUGUGAAAAGGAUCUAGGAGUCUUGGUUGACCACAAACUUGACAUGAGCCAACAGUGUGACGCAGCAGCUAAAAAGGCCAAUGCAAUUCUGGGCUGCAUCAAUAGGAGUAUAGCAUCUAGAUCAAGGGAAGUAAUAGUGCCACUGUAUUCUGCUCUGGUCAGACCUCACCUGGAGUACUGUGUCCAGUUCUGGGCACCACAGUUCAAGAAGGACAUUGACAAACUGGAGCGUGUCCAGAGGAGGGCAACCAAAAUGGUCAAAGGCCUGGAAACGAUGCCUUAUGAGGAACGGCUAAGAGAGCUGGGCAUGUUUAGCCUGGAGAAGAGGAGGUUGAGGGGUGAUAUGAUAGCCAUGUUCAAAUAUAUAAAAGGAUGUCACAUAGAGGAGGGAGAAAGGUUGUUUUCUGCUGCUCCAGAGAAGCGGACACGGAGCAAUGGAUCCAAACUACAAGAAAGAAGAUUCCACCUAAACAUUAGGAAGAACUUCCUGACAGUAAGAGCUGUUCGACAGUGGAAUUUGCUGCCAAGGAGUGUGGUGGAGUCUCCUUCUUUGGAGGUCUUUAAGCAGAGGCUUGACAACCAUAUGUCAGGAGUGCUCUGAUGGUGUUUCCUGCUUGGCAGGGGGUUGGACUCGAUGGCCCUUGUGGUCUCUUCCAACUCUAUGAUUCUAUGAUUC
rnacentral:lncRNA from 1 species